rnacentral:rRNA from 1 species
GGCCAGACUCCUACGGGAGGCAGCAGUGGGGGAUAUUGCACAAUGGGGGGAACCCUGAUGCAGCGACGCCGCGUGGGUGAAGGAGUAUUUCGGUAUGUAAAGCUCUAUCAGCAGGGAAGAAAAUGACAGUACCUGACUAAGAAGCCCCGGCUAACUACGUGCCAGCAGCCGCGGUAAUACGUAGGGGGCAAGCGUUAUCCGGAUUUACUGGGUGUAAAGGGAGCGUAGACGGCUGCGCAAGUCAGAAGUGAAAGCCCGGGGCUCAACCGCGGGACUGCUCUUGGAACUGCGCGGCUGGAGUGCAGGAGGGGCAGGCGGAAUUCCUGGUGUAGCGGUGAAAUGCGUAGAUAUCAGGAGGAACACCGGUGGCGAAGGCGGCCUGCUGGACUGCGACUGACGUUGAGGCCCGAAAGCGUGGGGAGCAAACAGGAUUAGAUACCCCCGUA